CCUACGGGCGGCAGCAGUGGGGAAUAUUGGGCAAUGGGCGCAAGCCUGACCCAGCAACGCCGCGUGAAGGAAGAAGGCUUUCGGGUCGUAAACUUCUUUUGACAGGGAAGAGUAGAAGACGGUAUCUUUCGAAUAAGCCACGGCUAACUACGUGCCAGCAGCCGCGGUAAUACGGAGGUGGCAAGCGUUGUCCGGAUUUACUGGGUGUAAGGGGCGUGUAGUCGGGUUGACAAGUCAGUUGUGAAAUCCUGCGGCUUAACCGGAGAACUGCCUUUGAAACUGUUGAACUUGAGUACUGGAGAGGAAGACGGAAUUCCAAGUGUAGCAGUGAAAUGCGUAGAUAUUAGGAGGAACACCAGUGGCGAAGGCGAUCUGCUGG
rnacentral:rRNA from 1 species